UACGUAGGGGGCAAGCGUUGUCCGGAAUCAUUGGGCGUAAAGAGCGUGUAGGCGGCCAGAUAAGUCCGCUGUGAAAUCUCGAGGCUCAACUUCGAGCUGUCGGUGGAAACUGUCUGGCUAGAGUCCGGAAGAGGAGAAUGGAAUUCCUGGUGUAGCGGUGAAAUGCGCAGAUAUCAGGAAGAACACCCGUGGCGAAGGCGGUUCGCUGGGACGGUACUGACGCUGAGACGCGAAAGCGUGGGGAGCAAACAGG
rnacentral:rRNA from 1 species